rnacentral:rRNA from 1 species
GGGAACCGCUGGACAGUUCGUGAGGUCUUGGCCCUCUCAAAAGCCAAUAACCCCAAGCUAGUCUUUAUUUCUGAGACUAGACAAUAUGCAAGGAAAGUUGAAAAACUGAAAUGGAGACUUGGUCUGAAAGGAUUCCAUGGAGUACGUAGUGAUGGUAGAAGUGGUUGCUUGGCUUUGUUCUGGGAUGAGUCUUUAUCUAUUACAGUACUUGAAGCUUGCAAUCGUUUCAUUGAUGUUAGGAUUGUCGAUAUGGGCUCUGCUACGUCUUGGAGAGGUACUUUCGUGUAUGGAGAGCCUAGAGUGGAAAACAGACAUCGCAUGUGGGAUCACUUAUGCCGCCUUCGAGCUGUUUCACAGAACCAUGGUUUGUCUGUGGCGAUUACAAUGAGGCAUUAUGGCAGCAUGAGCACCUUUCAAUGA